rnacentral:sRNA from 1 species
GUUCGACUCGAGCGAAGCGAGAGAACGUUGCGUCAGCAACGGCCCGCAGGGCGAGCCACAAAGUGGCGAGUCAUCCUCUAUCACCGACCA